rnacentral:sRNA from 1 species
GCUGGGCACAGUGGCACAUGUCUGUAAUCCCAAUGGCUUGGGAGGCUGAGACAGGAGGAUCUCAAGUUCAAAGCCAGCCUCAGCAAUGUCAAGUUGCUAAAGCAACUCAGUGAGACCCUGUCUCUA